rnacentral:rRNA from 1 species
GAUGAACGCUGGCGGCGUGCUUAACACAUGCAAGUCGAACGAAGCACUUUAUUUGAUUUCCUUCGGGACUGAUUAUUUUGUGACUGAGUGGCGGACGGGUGAGUAACGCGUGGGUAACCUGCCUUGUACAGGGGGAUAACAGUUGGAAACGGCUGCUAAUAACGCAUAAGCGCACGGCAUCGCAUGAUGCAGUGUGAAAAACUCCGGUGGUAUAAGAUGGACCCGCGUUGGAUUAGCUAGUUGGUGAGGUAACGGCCCACCAAGGCGACGAUCCAUAGCCGACCUGAGAGGGUGACCGGCCACAUUGGGACUGAGACACGGCCCAAACUCCUACGGGAGGCAGCAGUGGGGAAUAUUGCACAAUGGGCGAAAGCCUGAUGCAGCGACGCCGCGUGAGCGAAGAAGUAUUUCGGGAUGUAAAGCUCUAUCAGCAGGGAAGAUAAUGACGGUACCUGACUAAGAAGCACCGGCUAAAUACGUG